UACGAAGGGGGCUAGCGUUGUUCGGAUUUACUGGGCGUAAAGCGCACGUAGGCGGGUUGUUAAGUCAGGGGUGAAAUCCUGGAGCUCAACUCCAGAACUGCCUUUGAUACUGGCAACCUAGAGGCUGGGAGAGGUUAGUGGAAUUCCCAGUGUAGAGGUGAAAUUCGUAGAUAUUGGGAAGAACACCAGUGGCGAAGGCGGCUAACUGGUCCAGAUCUGACGCUGAGGUGCGAAAGCGUGGGGAGCAAACAGG
rnacentral:rRNA from 1 species